GACAUGUCUGGCCCCCAGGUAGCCCUUUUCUAUUGGCACCGCUGCUGGCAUUCCCCCAUGCAAGCUUCUAGCUUCCUUAUUUGUUUGUAGCUCAAUUUUUCAGGCUGCUCUUUGUUAGAAGAGAAAUGAUUUUCAUGGCUGCUUUUUGUUAGAAGGGAAGCUCUGCCUGCCUUCUCUUCUUUACCUUCACUAUCUGCCUAAAUAAUUUAUUUCUAUCUCCUGUAUCACUUUCACUAUAAGUGGAUGCAGCCUGAGGCUCUCACCAGAUACACAUCCCAAAUCUUGAACUUUGCAGCCAUCAGAAUUUGAGCCAAAUAAACCUUUUUCCUUUAUAAAUUUCCCAGCCUCAGAUAUAUUCCUUUGUAGCAACACUAAACUAAGACUUAUUGUAUCUGUCAUCUUCCGUAACGAUAUUGCACAUAGACAGAGAGAGUGGGUACCACAUUAUAUGUGCAGGAGCCAAAAUCUCCCUCAUCAGCAUACAUACUUGUCUGACUUGCCAUUCUCUUUGAAAAUUUCACCAUGAACAUUUCUCAUUAUAAGCAAAAGCAUUUAUGUGAAUACUUGGUGGUAAUAGUGUUUAGUUUGUUUGAUUAACCCACCAGAAGUUCAGUGAAUUAUUAAUGUAUAAAUAAGUGUAUCUAUGACUACAUCUACCUGACUACUCACUUUUAUCAAGUAUGCAUUAAAUCUCAUUUUGGUUUCUACUUAGUACCAGGUGCAGAUAAUUGGGAAAUGAAUGAGACAAGAUGCCCUCAAAAGCUCAGUCAAGUGGCAGAGACAGACAUUGUGAAUACAUGAUCUUGGUUCAACAGCAGCUCUCAAGUGCUGUACAGAAUGGAUUGAUGGAAACAGCAAAGGCUUUAUGCAUAUGGACAUCUUGCUUGACCUCCAAGAUCCAGUCUGCUGAUGAGGCGACUACUAUAAGAAUUAUUUGCAAUCUCUGCCCAUCCACAAACUCUCCACCCUGACUACUGCACUUAGAGCACUCUGCAGUAUUUUCCAGAUGUCUGUUAUCUGUCCUGUCACACCUAUGAAGAGAUCUGGGAAAACAGGGAACCCAUAUGAUUUUAACUAAGUAUGAACUACACGCAAGGCAAUAUGCAAUAAGGAAAAUAAAAUAUCCUGAAGGACUGGGAAAUGAUAAGUGACUGACAGUGUUUAAAUUGUGUGGAUGGUAUACCUAUAGCUUAAGUCAAACAAAGUUUGUCC
rnacentral:lncRNA from 1 species